UACGUAGGGUGCGAGCGUUAAUCGGAAUUACUGGGCGUAAAGCGGGCGCAGGCGGUCUGUUAAGACCGAUGUGAAAUCCCCGGGCUCAACCUGGGAACUGCAUUUGUGACUGCAUCGCUGGAGUGCGGCAGAGGGGGAUGGAAUUCCGCGUGUAGCAGUGAAAUGCGUAGAUAUGCGGAGGAACACCGAUGGCGAAGGCAAUCCCCUGGGCCUGCACUGACGCUCAUGCACGAAAGCGUGGGGAGCAAACAGG
rnacentral:rRNA from 1 species